UAACCGGUCUAACCGGUGAUUCAACCGAAAAAUCAUUUUAGAAUAAAAUAAUAAGUAAAUUAUAAUUAAACACCCUAAAAUAUAAUUAUAGUCUAAUAUAAAUAUUAAAAUAUCAAAAGUACAUCAGCAACCUUAAAACAGCAACACCAAUAUAUUAUCGAACAGCAACAAUGAAACAGCAACACAUUAUAAAACACUAAAACAGCAACACCGGUACAUUAUCAAAACACUAAAAUAGCAACACCAUUCAGCAAGGCAGUGAUGACACUAAACUAAACACUAAAAACAGCAAAAUUAGUACAUUAUAUAACAUAUCAAAAGUUCAAAACAGAGCAUUCAGUAACCAAGCAUUAGCAUUAGCAAGGCAGUGAUGACACUAAAUUAAAUAGGAAAAUUAUUUUUUCAAUGAAUAAAAAGAGCAACUAAUUAUGGAAGAGAAAAAGAACAUAAAUAUAUGAUUACAUGAAAUGAAAUGAGGAAACAAUUGAACUGAUAAGAAGAAAUUGUGAUAGAUGAGUGAUUAUUGAAAGAGAAAAGAGAGUGAAUAGCAGCAGAAGCAGCAUUAUAAUUGAGCCUUAGGUUAAGAAAACCCAUGAUGCUGUUUCCAGAAUUCAAGAGAAAGAGGAGAUUCCAUUAAGAUUACACAACAACCCAGCAACACAUCACUAAUCAAUAAUCAUAAUAUAUUCAAAAUCAAUAAUCAGUAAAUUAAAAUCACAAGUUCA